AGAGUUUGAUCCUGGCUCAGGACGAACGCUGGCGGCGUGCCUAAUACAUGCAAGUCGAGCGGAGCUAUUCCUUCGGGGGUAGCUUAGCGGCGGACGGGUGAGUAACACGUAGGCAACCUGCCUGCAAGACCGGGAUAACGUUCGGAAACGGAAGCUAAGACCGGAUAAGUCGAGAGAACGCAUGUUCUCUUGUGGAAACA
rnacentral:rRNA from 1 species